rnacentral:misc_RNA from 1 species
AGAGAGAGAGAGAGAGAGAAGAGCCAAAUCUCAACUUCAAUGGAAGAGCAAUAAGGCUACAAAAAGCAAGCAAGGGUUGCAAUACUUCCCUGAUAGAACCAACAAAUAAACCAAUUUAAGCAAGAAUGAGAAAACUCAAUCCUCAAUGGAAAAACUAGAACCUCUAAAACUCAAACAAGAACCUCUUAUCUGGUGAUUAUCUCUCUCCAAUACUCUUUCCAUCUCUUUCUUUGGAUCUCAUUGUUUCUCUUCUUCCUCUUCUCUAUGAAAUAUAAAGCAAGGAAAAGUGGGUCAGAUGAAAUUGAUAUAGGUGUUGCAUUAUAGAGGAGCAAGCCUAGCACUCUUCCUCAAUCCUUAAUCUGUCAAUUAUACAAUUACUGAUUUUGUCAUUUCAUUCCCUCUUCUACAAGUUGAAGAUUGUGAAUUGUGAUUUAACAAUUUUUAAUACCCGUUAUUAAGCAAAUCCCACACAUACAGAAACAAAGCUUGGAUUAUUCAAUAUGUAAUCAAUCACGAUUAUAAUAUACAAAACAAAGCCAAAUGAAUUAAUAAGAGUACCUAAUGCGAUAAUAGUAACCUUGCAGAAGGCAAACAACUAUGAACCAAGCACACCAGAUCUAAGUGAAUAGCCCUCAAUGAUUUUGUAGACUUGGUGGACCCUAGCACCAUCCAUGAACCUAAUAUAGUCCCAAGCUCCAACAUGCCAAAAUGAGGCUCUACUACUGGCUGCCCACGGCACACCUCUAAAAUGUGCAGGUGGUCGGCUGCCCAGCGGUGUUGUGGUUAGGAUGUCUUAGCUGUAGGUGAUGUGGUUUUGGAGUGGGAUCCAGGACCAGUGAUGCCACGAGGAGAAGCUUGCCGGUGUCUAGCGUCAACCCUACCUCUCCACAGGCAAUGCAGAGUGACGCUAUGCAAUGAGGGCUAGGCAAACUGGCCAUUGCACUAAUUGCAGGACUGGUUCCUGCAUGAAUCAGGAGCUCUAGGAGGUUGCAGGUAAGAUUAUUUUUUACAGAGGGCAAAAUGGGGGCAAAAUUUUUUAUAUUUUUAACCGGUAAACCUGAUAUUGCAGGUAAAAGUGACUUUUUUUGAAAUAAAACUAAAGUUUGAGUGAUUUUAUUUUAAGAAAUUGAAGUUCAAAGAUAGCAAUGAAAUAAUCCCUUAAGUUCAGGGACGGUUGGUGCAAUUAAGUCCAAUAGUAAGGUGCAUUUAGGUAUCAAAUAUCUAUUUGAGUACCUGAUACUGUAACUUCAGAGCUAGGACAAUAAUACUCAAAAUAGUUAUUAUUCACAUGAGAUCCUGAGGCUAAGUUUGGUGGAUCUUAACCAUGAUAGGCAUUUCAUUGACCUUUUGUUUUAACUAGUUCCUUGUAUUUUCAUUAGUGUGGAAGGAAUAUAUCCUCCAAACUUAUAUUUUAUUCGCUCUUACUGCAGAUCCCACCAACAAGUGUCCCUGUUAUUGUGCGGGAGUAUCGGAGGGAGCACUUGUGGAUAUAGUUUUGCAUGGACAUUAUUAUUGGGCUAGUAAGGGAUUUCAUGUUGAGUUUCAGUUAAGGAACCAAGCUCACAGUUGUGGAAUUGAACACGAGAUGAUAACAAGAUCUAUAAAUUCUACAGCAUUUAGUUGUGAUAUGGGCUUUGCCCAUAUGAUGAUUUUGUGCCUUGUCAAAUUUACUUUGUAUUAUUUGUUUUUCUUAGUAAUUGUGC